rnacentral:rRNA from 1 species
AUUGAACGCUGGCGGCAGGCUUAACACAUGCAAGUCGAGCGGAGAUGAGGUGCUUGCACCUUAUCUUAGCGGCGGACGGGUGAGUAAUGCUUAGGAAUCUGCCAAUUAGUGGGGGACAACAUUCCGAAAGGAAUGCUAAUACCGCAUACGUCCUACGGGAGAAAGCAGGGGAUCUUCGGACCUUGCGCUAAUAGAUGAGCCUAAGUCGGAUUAGCUAGUUGGUGGGGUAAAGGCCUACCAAGGCGACGAUCUGUAGCGGGUCUGAGAGGAUGAUCCGCCACACUGGGACUGAGACACGGCCCAGACUCCUACGGGAGGCAGCAGUGGGGAAUAUUGGACAAUGGGGGGAACUCUGAUCCAGCCAUGCCGCGUGUGUGAAGAAGGCCUUAUGGUUGUAAAGCACUUUAAGCGAGGAGGAGGCUACCGAGAUUAAUACUCUUGGAUAGUGGACGUUACUCGCAGAAUAAGCACCGGCUAACUCUGUGCCAGCAGCCGCAGUAAAAC